rnacentral:rRNA from 1 species
UACGUAGGGGGCAAGCGUUGUCCGGAAUCAUUGGGCGUAAAGAGCGUGUAGGCGGCCCGAUAAGUCCGCUGUGAAAGUCCAGGGCUCAACCCUGGAAUGCCGGUGGAUACUGUCGGGCUCGAAUCCGGAAGAGGUGAGUGGAAUUCCUGGUGUAGCGGUGAAAUGCGCAGAGUAUCAGGAGGAACACCCAAUGGCGAAGGCAGCUCACUGGGACGGUAUUGACGCUGAGACGCGAAAGCGUGGGGAGCAAACAGG